UACGAGCCGAAGCUUCUGCUGCGUGAUGGAAGCGCCUCAUCGCUGAUGGCCAACUAGUGGCUCAUUAAAUUCCCGUUAUCGCUAGCAUGCCGAUAUCUACGAGAAGCAAGAUCGUGCUUUUUUUCAUGUAACUCAGUUAGGAAUUAACACUUCGUGCAUAUUUGCGUGUCAGAGAACGCGAAUCGCUGUCAACAUCAACUACACUUCAGAAUUUAUAACUUAAUACCAGGAUGACAUGUAAGCAUGCAGUGAAGUCCUUGCGGACCGUAGAGCCGAUCUUGCUCUGCCAGCGUUUCUAAAGCUGUUUCUUACGUCAAGGAUGCAACCCUCUUUGAAAGGACGAGCAUGUUUGGUGGGACUGGGAUUCGAACCCGCGAC
rnacentral:misc_RNA from 1 species